UGAUAGGUCAUAUAGGGUCUUCGAGGGGAUCGGAGGAGGAAGAAAACAGAGAAAAAGUAGGGUUACAGUUUCAAUUUCAAUUUGGGAAAAAAGGGGCUAUAGGUAAUGAACACGUACGUAUAAAGGAAGUCGACCACUUCUGAACCUACGUGUAAACAUAACUACAUCAAUUUUUUUUGUAAAAGGGCUUUCAGCUACAUCAUGUUUUAUCGUUUAGCUUUUCGAUUCACAUAUAAUAUAUAUGUUAGCCGGCUAAAUGCAUUUAAUAGAUUUGCAUGAAAAUUUAAUACAUUUUUAUCGAUGGUAACUGAUAUGGUUAGAGCAAAUUUUAUCCACGACAAAAAGAAUAAUAACCGGAUAAAUUUUGUUUAGGCCAUCUAAUGUAUGUAGCCGGCUAAUAACAUGUAUAUAUUCUAUAGCACAAAUUUUUAAUAUAUUUUUUUAACAGAAUUAGUUAUUUGCUUUUAUUGAUAUAGGAAUUUAUAGCAGACUUUGAACGAAGAAUUAGCAAGCUAUUUAAGUGCUUAGAUUUAUAGAGGAAUUUGUAGCCCGAUAUAAAAUUUGGUAUUUCUGAUGAUGAUUGUUAUGGUUUAGAAAAAACUUUAAACAAGACAAAUAAAAUAAUAUCCGCCUAAGUUUUUUAUAUAGGAUAUAAAAUCAAUUAUGUCGUGACAUAAUACAAAAAUAAGAAUGGGUUUUGUGGAAUCUGAUUGGGAUGGGUUAUGUGGUAUGGUUCGAGGCCUUUUGAUGUUCAUGGUUUUUGUUUCUUUAUUGCUUGUGGUCCAGCCAGCUUGUCUCAGACGGAGACGUAUGCAAAGCUUCUAUUUAAUCCGAAAAUUGAGAUAGAUGGAAAGACGAACAUAAGAAUAUAUAUAGCAGAAAAGCUUAGAUAGGAAUUAUCGAAAUUGAAGGUUUUAAAGAACAUGAUAGGUUACAACUUGUCUGACAAUAAACUUUACGUGUAACUAUAGUUAAU
rnacentral:lncRNA from 1 species